rnacentral:rRNA from 1 species
UACAGAGGAUGCAAGCGUUAUCCGGAAUGAUUGGGCGUAAAGCGUCUGUAGGUGGCUUUUUAAGUCCGCCGUCAAAUCCCAGGGCUCAACCCUGGACAGGCGGUGGAAACUACCAAGCUAGAGUCCGGAAGAGGCGAGUGGAAUUCCUGGUGUAGCGGUGGAAUGCGCAGAUAUCAGGAGGAACACCAAUAGCGAAGGCAGCUCGCUGGGACGGUACUGACGCUAAGGCGCGAAAGCGUGGGGAGCGAACAGG